rnacentral:rRNA from 1 species
CAAUAGCGUAUAUUAAAGUUGUUGCAGUUAAAAAGCUCGUAGUCGGAUUUUGGCAUCAUGCCGAACUGUCAGCCGAUUGGUUUGUACGGUUUGGCGGGUGCUCUCCUUCCGGAGGCUCGUUUCCUCUUUCAUUAGAGGGUUCGAUGGUUCCGGGUCUUUUACUUUGAAAAAAUUAGAGUGUUCAAAGCAGGCCUAUGCUCUGAAUAGGUUAGCAUGGAAUAAUAAAAUAGGACUUUGGUUCUAUUUUGUUGGUUUCUAGGACCGAAGUAAUGAUUGAUAGGGACAGUUGGGGGCAUCAGUAUUCUGAAGCGAGAGGUGAAAUUCUUGGACCUUCGGAAGACUAACAACUGCGAAAGCAUUUGCCUAGGAUGUUCUCUUUAAUCAAGAACGAAAGUUGGGGGA